rnacentral:rRNA from 1 species
UGGGGAAUUUUGGACAAUGGGGGCAACCCUGAUCCAGCCAUGCCGCGUGAGUGAAGAAGGCCUUCGGGUUGUAAAGCUCUUUCGGACAGAAAGAAAUCGCACGGGCUAAUACUCUGUGUGGAUGACGGUACUGUCAUAAGAAGCACCGGCUAACUACGUGCCAGCAGCCGCGGUAAUACGUAGGGUGCGAGCGUUAAUCGGAAUUACUGGGCGUAAAGCGUGCGCAGGCGGUUAUGCAAGACAGGCGUGAAAUCCCCGGGCUCAACCUGGGAACUGCGCUUGUGACUGCAUAACUCGAGUACGGCAGAGGGGGGUAGAAUUCCACGUGUAGCAGUGAAAUGCGUAGAGAUGUGGAGGAAUACCGAUGGCGAAGGCAGCCCCCUGGGCCAGUACUGACGCU